rnacentral:rRNA from 1 species
AUUGAACGCUGGCGGAAUGCUUUACACAUGCAAGUCGAACGGCAGCACGGGGCAACCUGGUGGCGAGUGGCGAACGGGUGAGUAAUACAUCGGAACGUGCCCAAUCGUGGGGGAUAAUGUAGCGAAAGUUACGCUAAUACCGCAUACGAUCUACGGAUGAAAGCGGGGGAUCGCAAGACCUCGCGCGAAUGGAGCGGCCGAUGUCAGAUUAGGUAGUUGGUGGGGUAAAGGCUCACCAAGCCGACGAUCUGUAGCUGGUCUGAGAGGACGACCAGCCACACUGGGACUGAGACACGGCCCAGACUCCUACGGGAGGCAGCAGUGGGGAAUUUUGGACAAUGGGCGCAAGCCUGAUCCAGCCAUUCCGCGUGCAGGAUGAAGGCCUUCGGUUGUAAACUGCUUUGUACGGAACGAAACGGUUCUCUCUAAUACAGGGGCUAAUGACGGUACCGUAAGAAUAAGACACCGGCUAACUACGUGCCAGCGAGCCGCGGUAAACACG